rnacentral:rRNA from 1 species
UACGGAGGGGGCAAACGUUGCUCGGAAUCAUUGGGCGUAAAGCGCGUGUAGGCGGCUUGUUAAGUCGGGUGUGAAAGCCCUGGGCUCAACCCAGGAAGUGCGCCCGAAACUGGCGAGCUAGAGUACGGGAGAGGGUAGUGGAAUUCCCGGUGUAGAGGUGAAAUUCGUAGAUAUCGGGAGGAACACCAGUGGCGAAGGCGGCUACCUGGACCGAUUCUGACGCUGAGACGCGAAAGCGUGGGUAGCAAACAGG